rnacentral:rRNA from 1 species
UACGUAGGUGGCAAGCGUUGUCCGGAUUUACUGGGCGUAAAGAGCGCGCAGGCGGUCGUUCAAGUCGCGUGUGAAAGCCCCCGGCUCAACUGGGGAGGGUCACGCGAUACUGAUCGACUCGAAGGCAGGAGAGGGAAGCGGAAUUCCCGGUGUAGUGGUGAAAUGCGUAGAUAUCGGGAGGAACACCAGUGGCGAAGGCGGCUUCCUGGCCUGUUCUUGACGCUGAGGCGCGAAAGCCAGGGGAGCAAACGGG